rnacentral:rRNA from 1 species
CCGUAACUAUAACGGUCCUAAGGUAGCGAAAUUCCUUGUCGGGUAAGUUCCGACCUGCACGAAUGGCGUAAUGAUGGCCAGGCUGUCUCCACCCGAGACUCAGUGAAAUUGAACUCGCUGUGAAGAUGCAGUGUACCCGCGGCAAGACGGAAAGACCCCGUGAACCUUUACUAUAGCUUGACACUGAACAUUGAGCCUUGAUGUGUAGGAUAGGUGGGAGGCUUUGAAGUGUGGACGCCAGUCUGCAUGGAGCCGACCUUGAAAUACCACCCUUUAAUGUUUGAUGUUCUAACGUGGACCCGUUACCCGGGUUGCGGACAGUGUCUGGUGGGUAGUUUGACUGGGGCGGUCUCCUCCUAAAGAGUAACGGAGGAGCACGAAGGUUGGCUAAUCCUGGUCGGACAUCAGGAGGUUAGUGCAAUGGCAUAAGCCAGCUUGACUGCGAGCGUGACGGCGCGAGCAGGUGCGAAAGCAGGUCAUAGUGAUCCGGUGGUUCUGAAUGGAAGGGCCAUCGCUCAACGGAUAAAAGGUACUCCGGGGAUAACAGGCUGAUACCGCCCAAGAGUUCAUAUCGACGGCGGUGUUUGGCACCUCGAUGUCGGCUCAUCACAUCCUGGGGCUGAAGUAGGUCCCAAGGGUAUGGCUGUUCGCCAUUUAAAGUGGUACGCGAGCUGGGUUUAGAACGUCGUGAGACAGUUCGGUCCCUAUCUGCCGUGGGCGAUGGAGAACUGAGGGGGGCUGCUCCUAGUACGAGAGGACCGGAGUGGACGCAUCACUGGUGUUCGGGUUGUCAUGCCAAUGGCACUGCCCGGUAGCUAAAUGCGGAAGAGAUAAGUGCUGAAAGCAUCUAAGCACGAAACUUGCCCCGAGAUGAGUUCUCCCUGAGACUUUAGGUCUCCUGAAGGAACGUUGAAGACGACGACGUUGAUAGGCCGGGUGUGUAAGCGCAGCGAUGCGUUGAGCUAACCGGUACUAAUGAACCGUGAGGCUUAACCUU